GGUGUCUGUGUCCAGGCUGGUGUCUGGGUUCUGUGCUCCCUUCUCCACCCCAGGUGUCCUGUCCAUUCUCAGGUUGGUCACAUGGGUGCUGCUGGGGUUUCCCAUGAGGAGUGCAAAGUGCCUGAAUUUUCUGACUCUUCUCAGAUCCUCCAAAGGCACACAUUGCCCACCACCCCAUCUCUGACCAUGAGGCCACCCUGAGGUGCUGGGCCCUGGGCUUCUACCCUGCGGAGAUCACGCUGACCUGGCAGCGGGACGGGGAGGAACAGACCCAGGACACAGAGCUUGUGGAGACCAGGCCUGCAGGGGAUGGAAACUUCCAGAAGUGGGCUGCUGUGGUGGUGCCUUCUGGAGAGGAACAGAGAUACACGUGCCAUGUGCAGCACGAGGGGCUGCCCCAGCCCCUCACCCUGAGAUGGGAGCAGUCUCCCCAGCCCACCAUCCCCAUCGUGGGCAUCGUUGCUGGCCUUGUUGUCCUUGGAGCUGUGGUCACUGGAGCUGUGGUCGCUGCUGUGAUGUGGAGGAAGAAGAGCUCAGAUAGAAACAGAGGGAGCUACUCUCAGGCUGCAGUGUGAGACAGCUUCCUUGUGUGGGACUGAGAAGCAAGAUAUCAAUGUAGCAGAAUUGCACUUGUGCCUCACGAACA
rnacentral:lncRNA from 1 species